GACGAACGCUGGCGGCGUGCUUAACACAUGCAAGUCGAACGGUGAAGCGCCUUCCUUUUUGGUGGGUGUGGAUGAGUGGCGAACGGGUGAGUAACACGCGAGUAACCUGCCCCCUUCUUCUGGAUAACCGCAUGAAAGUGUGGCUAAUACGGGAUAUUCUGGGUCUGUCGCAUGAUGGGUCUGGGAAAGAUAUUGUUUCGGUGGGGGAUGGGCUCGCGGCCUAUCAGCUUGUUGGUGGGGUGAUGGCCUACCAAGGCGGUGACGGGUAGCCGGCCUGAGGGGGGGGGCGGCAACAGGGGGAGGGAGACCGGGCCAGGCCCCGAAGGGGGGCAGGGGGGGGGAAUAAUGGAAGAGGGGGGUCAGGCUGGAGGAGGCGACGCCGGGGGAGGGAGGGGGGCUUGGGGGUUGGGAACCUUUUCGGCAGGUGAAGCGGGCCGGCCUGGUUUGGGGGGGGGUGGAGGGUGGCUGAAUAAGAAGCGCGGGCUAACUACGUG
rnacentral:rRNA from 1 species